CCUGGUUGAUCCUACCAGUAGUCAUAUANGCUUGUCUCAAAGAUUAAGCCAUGCAUGUGUAAGUAUGAACAAAUUCAGACUGUGAAACUGUGAAUGGCUCAUUAAAUCAGUUAUAGCUUGUUUGAUGGUAUCUACUACUCAGAUAUCCGUAGUAAUGCUAAAGCUAAUACGUACAACAAACCUCGACUGCUGGAAGGGAUGCAUUUAUUAGAUAAAAGGUCGACAUGGGCUCUGCCCAUUGCUGCGAUGAUUCAUGAUAACUCGACGGAUCGUACGACCAUCGUGCCGAGGAUGCAUCAUUCAAAAUUCUGCCCGAUCAACUUUUGAUGGUAGGAUAGUGUCCUAGCAUGGUGGUGACGGGUGAUGGAGAAUUAGGGUUCGAUUCUGGAAAGGGAGCCUGAGAAAUGACUACCACAUCCAAGGAAGUCAAUAGGCGCACAAAUUACCCAAUCCUGACACGGGGAGGAAGUGACAAUAAAUAACAAUACCGGGCUCUAUGAGUCUGGUAAUUGGAAUGAGUACAAUCUAAAUCCCUUAACGAGGAUCCAUUGGAGGGAAAGUAUGGUGCAAGCAGCCGCGGUAAUUCCAGCUCCAAUAGCGUAUAUUUAAGUUGUUGCAGUUAAAAAGCUCGUAGUUGGACUUUGGGAUGGGCCGGCCGGUCCGCCUUAGGUGUGCGCCGGUCGUCUCGUCCCUUCUGCCGGCGAUGCGCUCCUGGCCUUAAUUGGCCGAGUCGUGCCUCCGACGCUGUUACUUUGAAGAAAUUAGAGUGCUCAAAGCAAGCCUACACUUUGUAUACAUUAGCAUGGGAUAACAUUAUAGGAUUUUGAUCCUAUUACGUUGGCCUUCGGGAUCGAAGUAAUGAUUAACAAGGAUAGUCGGGGGCAUUCGUAUUUCAUAGUCAGAGGUGAAAUUCUUGGAUUGAUGAAAUACGAAAUGCGAAAGCAUUUGCCAAGGAUGUUUUCAUUAAUAAAGAACGAAAGUUGAGGGCUCGAUAACGAUCAGACACCGUCCUAGUCUCAACCAUAAAUGAUGCCUAACAAGGAUCG
rnacentral:rRNA from 1 species